rnacentral:rRNA from 1 species
AUUGAACGCUGGCGGCAUGCCUUACACAUGCAAGUCGAACGGUAACAGGUCUUCGGAUGCUGACGAGUGGCGAACGGGUGAGUAAUACAUCGGAACGUGCCCGAUCGUGGGGGAUAACGAAGCGAAAGCUUUGCUAAUACCGCAUACGAUCUACGGAUGAAAGCAGGGGACCGCAAGGCCUUGCGCGAACGGAGCGGCCGAUGGCAGAUUAGGUAGUUGGUGGGAUAAAAGCUUACCAAGCCGACGAUCUGUAGCUGGUCUGAGAGGACGACCAGCCACACUGGGACUGAGACACGGCCCAGACUCCUACGGGAGGCAGCAGUGGGGAAUUUUGGGACAAUGGGCGAAAGCCUGAUCCAGCCAUGCCGCGUGCAGGAUGAAGGCCUUCGGUUGUAACUGCUUUGUACGGUAACGAAAAGAACGUACU